GACGAACGCUGGCGGCGUGCCUAACACAUGCAAGUCAAACGGAAGUUAGAGCUUCUGUUUUAACUUUAGUGGCGAACGGGUGAGUAACGCGUGAGGAACCUGCCUUUCAGUGGGGGACAACAGUUGGAAACGACUGCUAAUACCGCAUGACACUUUUGGGAGACAUCUCCUGAAAGUCAAAGCUUUAUGUGCUGAAAGAUGGCCUCGCGUCUGAUUAUCUAGUUGGUGAGGUAACGGCUCACCAACGCGACGAUCAGUAGCCGGUCUGAGAGGAUGAACGGCCACAUUGGGACUGAGAUACGGCCCCAGACUCUUACGGGAGGCAGCAGUGGGGAAUAUUGGGCACUGGGGGAAACCCUGACCCAGCAACGCCGCGUGAAGGAAGAAGGCCUUCGGGUUGUAAACUUCUUUUACCAGGGACGAAGGACGUGACGGUACCUGGAGAAAAAGCAACGGCUAACUACGUGCCAGCAGCCGCGGUAAUACGUAGGUUGCAAGCGUUGUCCGGAUUUACUGGGUGUAAAGGGCGUGUAGGCGGAGGUGCAAGUUGGGAGUGAAAUCCAUGGACUCAACCCAUGAACUGCUCUCAAAACUGUAUCCCUUGAGUAUCGGAGAGGCAAGCGGAAUUCCUAGUGUAGCGGUGAAAUGCGUAGAUAUUAGGAGGAACACCAGUGGCGAAGGCGGCUUGCUGGACGACAACUGACGCUGAGGCGCGAAAGCGUGGGGAGCAAACAGGAUUAGAUACCCUGGUAGUCCACGCUGUAAA
rnacentral:rRNA from 1 species